GCCUGGCUGGCUCAGCUGGUAGAGCAUGUGACUCUUGAUCUCAGGGUCAUGAGUUCAAGCCCCAUGUUGAUCA
rnacentral:tRNA from 1 species